UUCUCGAUAGCUCAAUUGGCAAGAGCGCAAGACGGAUGUUAAAGGAAUGAGCUGGUUAGUCUUGAGGUCGCCGGUUCGAUGCCGGCUCGAAGGA